rnacentral:rRNA from 1 species
AACGAACGCUGGCGGCAUGCCUAAUACAUGCAAGUAGAACGCACAGUUUAUGCCUUGGCUUGCUCCACCAUAGAAUGUGAGUUACGAACGCGUGAGUAACGCGUAGGUAACCUGCCUGGGAGCGGGGGAUAACUAUUGGUAACGAUAGCUAAUACCGCAUGAUAUUAAUUAUUGCAUGGUAAUUAAUUGAAAGUUGCAAUUGAACCACUAUCAGAUGCACCUACGUUGUAUUAGCUAGUAGGUGAGGUAACGGCUCACCUAGGCGAGGAUACAUAGCCGACCUGAGAGGCUGAGAGGCCACACUGGUAUUGGGACACGGCCCAGACUCCUACGAGAGGGAGCCGUAGGGGAUCUUCGGGAAUGGAAGAAAGUGUGACUGAGCAACGCCGCGUGAGUGAAUAAGGCUGUCGGAUCGUAAAGCUGUGUUGGACGAGAAGAAUGUGUGUGUGAGUGGAAAGUGCACAUUGUGACGGUACCUUAACAGAAAGGUACGGCUAACUACGUG